UUUAAAAAGUGGGUCUGCACAAAUGGUUUAAGUGUGUGAAGUACAUGCUUGGUAUUGCUUAUGAAAGAGUGUCUUUAAGCUAUGUGAAUUUGUUUAGAAGUCCAGAAGUUUUUUAUGACAGAACAAUGGGCAGCCAUGACCUGGUCACAUAAAUCAGGCAUCCAGGCUCUACCUACAGUGCAUAGUGGGGAGAAGAUAUAGGAACUACUACAAUACAAUGUAAUAAUUCCAUAAUGAAGCAAUGAGGAAGUAAGUGUAAAAAUCACUUUUUACCACCAUGAAGCAUGAACCAGCCAAGAAGUAAAGCCAAAAUAGAAGGAGGCAGAGUGAGGAAAAGGAGAGCAAGUCCUAGUUCAGCUGCACCUAAGUCAGUACAAGCAAUGAGCUUUUUUUAGGUAAAUGAGCUAAAUACUAGUAAUAACUACAAUAAUAACAACAGCUUUUCUUUAACUCAACUUGCAUUGAGUCUUCAGUCACUUGUAUCCAAUAGUACACUGACUAAUUAAAUUGGAAUGAGCAACCUAGAAGCUCACUUUGGAAUAGCAAUAAUGUAGACCUGGAAGAGUUUUCAUCAAUAAGGGAAAGAAACUAAAUAUGAGGAAGUGAAGACAGUCCAUGUAGACUGCUUGUUCUAGAAGCUGAUCUAUUUUUAAAAAAUUACAAAGGAGAAGAUUCAGUAGCUAGAGUGGAGGCAGAAUCGAGGAAGUAUUUAUUCCUAAGAUGGGAGAGACUUGAGCAUGUUUAUGCACAAAGGGAAAGAUGCCAGUGGAAAGGAAAAGGUUGACAGUACUGAGAAGAGAGUGGAUAAUUAAUGGCAGAAAUCCAGACGGACACAGAAUGUGAUGACUAUUUCUGUUGCCAUGAAAUCUCUAGUAAGGUCUAGGGUCUGCUCAGAC